rnacentral:rRNA from 1 species
UACAGAGGUGGCAAGCGUUGUUCGGAAUUACUGGGCGUAAAGGGCGCGUAGGCGGCCUACUAAGUCAGACGUGAAAUCCCCCGGCUUAACCUGGGAACUGCGUCUGAUACUGGAAGGCUUGAGGAUGGGAGAGGGAUGUAGAAUUCCAGGUGUAGCGGUGAAAUGCGCAGAUAUCAGGAAGAACACCAUGGCGAAAGCAGCUUUCUGGGACGGUACUGACGCUGAGGUGCGAAAGCGUGGGGAGCGAACAGG